UACGUAGGGGGCAAGCGUUGUCCGGAUUUAUUGGGCGUAAAGAGCGUGUAGGCGGCUUGGUAGGUCUUGCGUCAAAACCUGAGCUCAACCUCAGUUCGCGUGGGAAACCAUCUAGCUAGAGUCCGGAAGAGGAGAACGGAAUUCCCAGUGUAGCGGUGAAAUGCGCAGAUAUUGGGAAGAACACCAGUGGCGAGGGCGGUUCUCUGGGACGGUACUGACGCUGAGACGCGAAAGCGUGGGGAGCCGA
rnacentral:rRNA from 1 species